rnacentral:rRNA from 1 species
GGGUUGUGAGGUUAAGCGACUAAGCGUACACGGUGGAUGCCCUGGCAGUCAGAGGCGAUGAAGGGCGUACUAAUCUGCGAUAAGCGCCGGUAAGGUGAUAUGAACCGUUAUAACCGGCGAUACCCGAAUGGGGAAACCCAGUGUGAUUCGUCACACUAUCAUUAACUGAAUCCAUAGGUUAAUGAGGCGAACCGGGGGAACUGAAACAUCUAAGUACCCCGAGGAAAAGAAAUCAACCGAGAUUCCCCCAGUAGCGGCGAGCGAACGGGGAGGAGCCCAGAGCCUGAAUCAGCAUGUGUGUUAGUGGAAGCGUCUGGAAAGGCGCGCGAUACAGGGUGACAGCCCCGUACACAAAAGCGCAUGUGCUGUGAGCUCGAUGAGUAGGGCGGGACACGUGGUAUCCUGUCUGAAUAUGGGGGGACCAUCCUCCAAGGCUAAAUACUCCUGACUGACCGAUAGUGAACCAGUACCGUGAGGGAAAGGCGAAAAGAACCCCGGCGAGGGGAGUGAAAAAGAACCUGAAACCGUGUACGUACAAGCAGUGGGAGCCCCACCACCAAAGCAUUUGCUGUACCGCGUUGACGGAGCGAAGCGACGUCAAACCGAUAAAACAGCAGUGUAAAGUGAGCCGCAGGGCGCUUUGCGCGACAGCGCAAAGGCAGGCGGUUUCGCGUAGCGAAAGCGAAUGCUUUGGGGUGGGGUGACUGCGUACCUUUUGUAUAAUGGGUCAGCGACUUAUAUUCUGUAGCAAGGUUAACCGAAUAGGGGAGCCGGAGGGAAACCGAGUCUUAACCGGGCGUUAAGUUGCAGGGUAUAGACCCGAAACCCGGUGAUCUAGCCAUGGGCAGGUUGAAGGUUGGGUAACACUAACUGGAGGACCGAACCGACUAAUGUUGAAAAAUUAGCGGAUGACCUGUGGCUGGGGGUGAAAGGCCAAUCAAACCGGGAGAUAGCUGGUUCUCCCCGAAAGCUAUUUAGGUAGCGCCUCGUGAAUUCAUCUCCGGGGGUAGAGCACUGUUUCGGCUAGGGGGCCAUCCCGGCUUACCAACCCGAUGCAAACUGCGAAUACCGGAGAAUGUUAUCACGGGAGACACACGGCGGGUGCUAACGUCCGUCGUGAAGAGGGAAACAACCCAGACCGCCAGCUAAGGUCCCAAAGUCAUGGUUAAGUGGGAAACGAUGUGGGAAGGCCCAGACAGCCAGGAUGUUGGCUUAGAAGCAGCCAUCAUUUAAAGAAAGCGUAAUAGCUCACUGGUCGAGUCGGCCUGCGCGGAAGAUGUAACGGGGCUAAACCAUGCACCGAAGCUGCGGCAGCG